CUACCACUACCUGCGAAUUCGCAUUCCACAAUCACAAUGAUGUAACCUAUAGCAGUUGCCAAAACAACAUCGGACUG
rnacentral:tRNA from 1 species